rnacentral:rRNA from 1 species
GACGAACGCUGGCGGCGUGCCUAAUACAUGCAAGUAGAACGCUGAAGAGAGGAGCUUGCUCUUCUUGGAUGAGUUGCGAACGGGUGAGUAACGCGUAGGUAACCUGCCUGGUAGCGGGGGAUAACUAUUGGAAACGAUAGCUAAUACCGCAUAAAAUGGAUUAUCGCAUGAUAAUCCAUUGAAAGGUGCAAAUGCAUCACUACCAGAUGGACCUGCGUUGUAUUAGCUAGUUGGUGGGGUAACGGCUCACCAAGGCGACGAUACAUAGCCGACCUGAGAGGGUGAUCGGCCACACUGGAACUGAGACACGGCCCAGACUCCUACGGGAGGCAGCAGUAGGGAAUCUUCGGCAAUGGACGGAAGUCUGACCGAGCAACGCCGCGUGAGUGAAGAAGGUUUUCGGAUCGUAAAGCUCUGUUGUAAGAGAAGAACGAGUGUGAGAGUGGAAAGUUCACACUGUGACGGUAUCUUACCAGAAAGGGACGGCUAACUACGUG